UACUGCCCUAAAUGCUCCUUCUGGC
rnacentral:piRNA from 1 species